CCACAUUUUCUUAUUCACAAAACAAACUCCCACAUUACCUUAUUCAUAAAACAAACUCUCACAUUACCUUAUUCAUAAAACAAACUACACAAAAUCGAGUAUAUUUCUUCUUUUUCUUUUUUUUUCUAGUUUUUACAGUACGAGGUGUUUACGACGAUUUUGGUUACGUGGUUUUUACGACGAUUCCGUCCUACGUGGAAUUAAAGUGGGCCGCGUUCAUCAUUUAUUUUACGUGGUAUUUACGACGAAUCUUUCCUACGUGGUAUUUACGACGAAUUUGUCCUACGUGGUAUUUACGACGAAUCUCUCAUACGUGGAAUAAACGAGGAAUUCGUCGUAAGUUCGACGUCAACAUACGAGGAAUUAACGAGUAUUCCGUUUAAAUCCCUAAAAUCCGAAACCCCAAACCCCAUAUUCCUUAUCUUCUACUUCAUAUAUUUCAAACCCUAUCUUUAUUUUCAUUCCAAACCACAAUUCCUUAUCUUCUAAUUCAUAUAUUCCAAACCACAAUUCCCACUUUUACUUAUUCAUAAAACAAACUCCCACAUUUUCUUAUUCACAAAACAAACUCCCACAUUACCUUAUUCAUAAACAAACUCUCACAUUACCUUAUUCAUAAAACAAACUACACAAAAUCGAAAAUACAUCAAUCGGAUUCAUCGACAUUCUCGUCAUCACUAGAAAUGUCUUCAUUUUCAUUAAACUCGUCUUCAACAGCUUCGUCUGUGGCAUCAUCGGUAAGAUCUUCGUACUCGUGAUUAUGCGGAUCAAUGAGAAGGA
rnacentral:lncRNA from 1 species